rnacentral:rRNA from 1 species
UACGUAGGGGGCAAGCGUUGUCCGGAAUCAUUGGGCGUAAAGCGCGUGUAGGCGGCUCGGUAAGUCCGCUCUGAAAGUCCAGGGCUCAACCCUGGGAUGCGGGUGGAUACUGCCGGGCUCGAGUCCGGAAGAGGCGAGUGGAAUUCCUGGUGUAGCGGUGAAAUGCGCAGAUAUCAGGAGGAACACCAAUGGCGAAGGCAGCUCGCUGGGACGUGACUGACGCUGAGACGCGAAAGCGUGGGGAGCGAACAGG